UUACUCACCGGGGAUGAACAACUUUUGUCACGUGACCACAAAAGUCAACGCAGGUUGUUGAAUUACAUCAGGAAUCCCGCUCCGUCAGAAUGACACGAAAAAAGUCUCACCUCGGGCGGACCAAACGAAGGACUGGAUUGCAUCACACUUCUGAAUUCCUACCGCCAACAACCUCGCCUUUUCGAACAGCAAUGAAACGAAAAUUAACACCAAUGAAGUCUCCAAUUCAGCAACCCUUUCGAUCUCCUUUGUAUAAAGCAAAACGAAAAUCGCACCGAGAACUAUUUAAAGACAAUGAUAAUCGCGAUACUAACUGGGUUAUUGAUAUGAACUCUCAAAUUCAAAGUGACAACGCGCCAAAUCUUUCUAUGUUUAUGCAUUGAGGAGCUACCAAUAUUGGGGCCGUAUAAUAUGCUGCCUAUAUUGACGCUGUGGGAUGCUUCAUUUAACGAGGCCUACCGGUAUAUUCAACCUUUUUGGGGGAUUUGAAACAACAACAGACAUAUUGGAUCUAACUUUAUUUUGUUUGCUGUUAUUUGUUUCAAGUUUUAAAAUUACAGUUUCUAAAAAAUGCCAUGUAUCUUGUAUCUUGUUAAUUAAAAAAAAGGUAUCUUUCUUUUAGUUGCAUAAUGAUAAAUAAUGUGGACCUAUAAGGAGAGAGGUAUCAUGAAGCAAAUAAAACAAUCGAUUCCUCUUA